CCCUUAGAUGUUCUGGGCCGCACGCGCGCUACACUGAUGCAUUCAACGAGUCUAAAACCUGGUCUGAUAGGGCUGGGUAAUCUUUUGAAUGUGCAUCGUGAUUGGGAUAGAUGAUUGCAAUUCUUCAUCUUCAACGAGGAAUGCCUAGUAAACGCAAGUCAUCAGCUUGCAUUGAUUACGUCCCUGCCCUUUGUACACACCGCCCGUCGCUCCUACCGAUUGAGUGGUCCGGUGAGGCUUUGGGAUCUGAGCGGAAAGAGCGUUUCGCUGUUUCUGCUCGGAAAACUCAGUCGAACCUUAUCAUUUAGAGGAAGGAGAAGUCGUAACA
rnacentral:rRNA from 1 species